GCCUUUUGAUUUCUAGUUCUGUUUCUGGGACCUGUGACCUCAGAUCAGUGAUGAUAAUUUUGUUCUAUGAAAUCUGUACUCCAAAAAGCAUGUUUGUAUUGGAAAAUUGACCUUCAAUUCAAUAUAAAAGCAUUUAUUGAAGUAAGGAGUUUACUAUGUAAUCAAUGAGGAACAUUUAGUUGUUUUUCAACAAGAAACUGAUAUGAAUCUGUAUUUUAGAAAACUUGCUCUUGAAGCACUGUGAAAAGUAGAGCAGAAAUGAUUAAAGAAGCAGGUUUCAACCUCAAAAUGAAUGACACUCCUCUCCCUACCCAAGCUGUGAGAUUUUCUAGAAAUUGCCAUAGCCAGAGACAGAUGGCCAAAGUGUUUCAUGAAAAUUUAUCUGGUUAUUCAACCACAGGUACAAAUUAUGAUGUGAA
rnacentral:lncRNA from 1 species